AAAGUUGAUUUUAAUCGUUAUGUCUCAAGUUUAUGAACUUGAUAAAAGAGUAGUGCACCUAACUGCUGACAAAUCAAAUAUAAAAAAUAUGGAUCAUGCAUAAGCGUAGAGUUUAAACAAUCGAUCUAUAAUUAUAAAAUUAUAACAGUGACAAAAAUGGCUUCAGUGACAUAAAACAGUGGUUAUUACAUGAAUAUAAUGGAUAUGGCUGGGAAGCACUAGAAUAUCCAUACAUAUGUUGAAAAGUGUUGAAAUGAUUGGAAAUAUGGCUGGUUCUAACAAUAGUCUCCAGUAUGAAUAUAUUAUAGAAAACAUCUUGAAUCAGGAUCGGAAGGAUUUAAUGCUUGUCAAGUUUACAGUUCCAAUUAUUCUAGUUGGACUAUUCAUUAUAAUAAUAUUGAUAAUCUAUCUUAAAUGCGGGAAGAAACCCAAAAAAUGCACAGUAUUAAGACGGGAAUCUACCAAAUCAUUAAGAACGGAUGGCACUGUCAAAUCGAACUGGAGACAAGUCCGAACCCGAACCCUCCGAGACAGAAAGUUGCCUCCGAUACCGGAGGAGCAAACUCAAGGAGAUAAAGGAAGGAUGACCAGCCAAGGUUUCAAGCCUUCAGGGCAUAUUAUUGGAACAGCUACACCAGAGAGUCACGUGUAUGCUGAGAUAAAUGGAACAGUUGACAUUUCAGAAGAAACAGUUGAAAAUCUGAAUCAAACAGAGAUAGACCUGAGGUCGAAGUACCUGCAGGUACCUAAUGUACCCGAUGUUGUCCAGCACUACGUGAACCUACCUGACAUAGCUUCCGAUAGAGUCGCAGAGAAUGAUGAUAUUGGCACCUAUGUACCUUACACCUAUCCAUACCAACAUAAACCAGUACUUAACAGGGAUUCUACUGAACAGGAGGAAGGAUCUGAUUCCUGUAAACUGUACAGUUCUCCUAUACCUGAAUCCGCAGUUUCUGAAUCCUCAUCAAGUUCGAUAAUUCCUGAAUCUACCUCCAAAUCAAGUGAACAUUUUCCUGGUCCUGAAGAAUUACCAACUGAAUCCUAUUAUCUUAUUCCUAAUUCCACUAUUUCUGAAUCCACGUCUACUUUCCCUGAAUCCUUAUCAGCUACUGCUAUCCCUGAAUAUACAUCAAGAUCCGAAUCCAAUCGAAAUUCUCAGAUCCCUGAAUCGUCAUCAAGUCCUGUUACUGCAGAAUCCGCAUCACCUUCUUCAAUUCCUGAAUCCACAUUAACUUCUUCAAUUCCUGAAUCAGCCUCAAAUUCAGCAACGUUAACUUUAUCAUCAAAUCAUCAGAAGAAGAAACGAAAAAUAAGAACUCAAACAAGUCUGAGUUUGGAAAAGGAUCACAGUUAAGAGUUCUCCCUCGGCUUCGGGAAAGCAUCUCCUUAGAUAGUGGUUGCACAACAAACCUUUCUCCAGGCGCAGGAAGACGACAACUAAAACGAUUAA
rnacentral:misc_RNA from 1 species